rnacentral:rRNA from 1 species
UAAUGUCUGGGAAACUGCCUGAUGGAGGGGGAUAACUACUGGAAACGGUAGCUAAUACCGCAUAACGUCGCAAGACCAAAGAGGGGGACCUUCGGGCCUCUUGCCAUCAGAUGUGCCCAGAUGGGAUUAGCUAGUAGGUGGGGUAACGGCUCACCUAGGCGACGAUCCCUAGCUGGUCUGAGAGGAUGACCAGCCACACUGGAACUGAGACACGGUCCAGACUCCUACGGGAGGCAGCAUG